rnacentral:rRNA from 1 species
GGGGAAUAUUGGACAAUGGGCGCAAGCCUGAUCCAGCCAUGCCGCGUGGGUGAAGAAGGCCUUCGGGUUGUAAAGCCCUUUUGUUGGGAAAGAAAAGCAGCCGGCCAAUACCCGGUUGUUCUGACGGUACCUGCAGACGAAGCACCGGCUAACUACGUGCCAGCAGCCGCGGUGAUACGUAGGGUGCGAGCGUUGUCCGGAAUUAUUGGGCGUAAAGAGCUUGUAGGCGGUCCGUCGCGUCGGAAGUGAAAACUCAGGGCUUAACCCUGAGCCUGCUUUCGAUACGGGCAGACUAGAGGGAUGUAGGGGAGAACGGAAUUCCUGGUGGAGCGGUGGAAUGCGCAGAUAUCAGGAGGAACACCAGUGGCGAAGGCGCUUCUCUGGACAUUUCCUGACGCUGAGAAGCGAAAGCGUGGGGAGCAAACA